rnacentral:lncRNA from 1 species
CAGAAGAAAUAACAAAAUGGAGAAAAGAAGGUGGUUUAGAAACAUAUUCCUUCCUCUCCAGGGAAAUAGUUAAAUUCUAAAAACAGCUGACACCUAUAACAGUAAGAUAACAAAUAAUUUCAAUUUUAAGUAAGAACUAUUCUCCCCUACUCAAAUAAAGGCAAUGGGGAAAUAAAAUUGCCUAAAAAAGUAUGCAGUGUCCUCCUGUAGUCAUCAUAUAAAAUAAUCAUCAUGUACAUCU